GGCAUAGAAUGGAGUCUUCUGGAGUAUGGAAUCUCACCACUUCAGUCCAACACAGAGUUGUUCCCAAAUCCAAGAUCACUGAGCAGGAAGAGGAGUAUGACCGGUUCCUGCAUCGCGUCGGGAUACAGCACCCAAAGAUGGGUUAGUGGGUGAACACUAGUAUGUACGCAAGAAUAAAGAUAAAAUAAUGCCAUUAUUCAAAUCCAAAGUAAAUAACUAUAUGCAACCACAUACAUGCAUAUAUAUAUAUAUCAUGCCGAGAAAUAAAAUCGGGUUUAGCAUGCAUUUAAAACCUUUAACUUGGGAUUGUGUGGCUCUGCCAUCCUAAAUCUACCCAUGGGCUAUAUGGGUUCAACUCACCCUGCUGAAAAGGCCCCGGUGCAUGUUAGCCAACGAGCCAGAGAAAAACCUGAGAUGACUAGUACAUCCAAAAUACAAGUGUGACAAAAUACACACGAUCACCAAGACCAACCUCACAACGGCAAAUUUGCGCUUCCAGUUUUCAUUCCCUGGGACCACUACCUUCCACGGCUUUGCUAACAAAUUCCCCUUUAAGCCUAUAUUAAAACCAUUCACACACAACCAACCAAUUACCAAGGAGUCUCUUUUUCGGCAUUAACCAUUGGUAUCGUCAUACCAAAACUAGAGCUUGUAAGUCUAUCCAUUUAUGCCAUUCCAAAGCCAUUAAACUAAUUAGAAUCCAAGGUUUCCGUUUAAAAUAAUACCACAGCCACCAAGUCCUUUCCAAUCCAUUUAAAAUCAUUUAAACCAAUUUAGGUUCCAUUACCAUAGUAUGCAAUGCAAAGUUUUCAAUUAUAGUCAAACUAUGUGACAAAAUCAUUCUCAUAGACAUUUUAACAAACAUGUUGAGGGCUUAAGAUUUUUCCAAAACCAAAACCAUAUAUCAAUUGACCAUUCCCAUGCAACCACAUGUUCAAACCAUAAUUAUAACAUGAAAACCAUAAGAAAAACAUGGGAAAACAUUAUCCAACUAAGAACAACCAAAACCCCAACAUAUACUUCAAAAUCCAAAACAAUCCCACAAUAAUGCCAUGAAAAUCAUUCAUUCAAACAUUCUUUUAGUUGAACUAACAAUGAGGAAAGAGUAUCAUUCCUUAGACAACAAGGAAGAUGGAGAGAAACCACCCUUUAGAUCGUUAAAUAAUUGACUUAAAGAAAACCAUAGUUUUUCUUGAACCAAGAUCUUGAGAGAGAUUUGAGAGUGUUUAAAGAGUGUUUGAUUGGGAAUAAUAGGUUAAGGAAGCCUCCAAAGGUGUUUUAUGUCGUGGGGUUCAAAAGGUGUUAAGAGAGGAAAUAUCCAAAAUACCCCCAACUUUAACUAUAAAAAGGACAUAGGAAGGUACGGCUGGACCACUCAACUCGUAUCCACAUCAUAUGAGUGGUACCCUCUAAUCGUAUCUUGAUCAGAAAGUUAGACACCAAAUUCUAUCCAACAUACGACUCCUCAGAAUAACUCAUACCAUCACCAUACAACAAGUACCCUUUAAGUCAUAUCCUAAGAAGAACAUCAAGGCUAGAUAUUGGACAACAUACGGAUGGACACCAUACCCCUCGUAUCAUGAACAUAUGACUCAUCACUACCAACCCAUAACCAAAAUAGAAACUCAACCACCAAACAUUGGACACCCAACGAGUUGGAUCACCUAACCCGUACCUACACCAUACGAUUAAUAUGGUGAGUCGUAUGAUGAACAAAAAGCUUAAGACUCAAGAAAUUUGAAAGGUCCAGAACCCAGGGUGUUUUUAUUCUCCCCCACUUGGAUCAUUCAUCCUCGAAUGAUGAAACAAGGCAGUAUAAGAACAAUUAAACCCCCAAACGUCUCUACUCUUACCUUUCUGACAGAAAACAGAACACCAAGGAAUUCAACUUUUUACCUUUAACAAAGACAAUAAAAAAAGAGGUAAAGAAUCAACACAUACUGACAUACGAAUUUCUGAAGCGAAAAAUAAAAAUGGAUACUUGGUCUUCAUGUCCUCUUCAGCUUCUCAUGUAGCCUCUUCCACCUUGUGGUUCCUCCAUAGAACCAUUACCAAGGCCACAUCCUUGGUCUGCAAUCGAUGAACCUGAUGAUCCAAGAUCUCAACUAGGAUAUCCUCAUAAGAUAAGGAAUCUAAAAUACCAAUAUCUUAAUAGGCACAACCUGUGACGGAUCGCCAAUGUACCUCCACAACAUAGAGAUAUGGAAUACCAGGUGAAUGGAUCUCAAGCUAGAUGGCAACUCCAACUCAUAUCUGAUAUUUCCAACCCUUCUCAAAAUCACAUAAGGACCCACAUAUCAGGGACUAAGCUUCCCCUUUAUCCCAAACUGCAUCACUCCUUUCAUGGGAGACACCUAUAGGAACACUCUAUCUCAAACCUCAAACUCCAAGUCCCUUUGCCUCAUGUUUCCAUAAGACUUUUGAUGACUUUAGGCAGCCUUAAGCCUAUCUCGAUUCACCUUUACCUUCUUCAUAGAUUGGUGAACCAAAUCUAUCCCAAAUAUAUCCACCUCACCAAGCUCAAACCACCCAAUAAGAAACCUACACCUCCUACCAUACAAUACUUCAAAUGGAGCCAUCCUAAUGAUAGAGUGGCAGCUAUUAUUGUCGGCAAACUCUAAAGAGGCAAAUGUUCAACCAACUACCACCAAAGUUGAUCACGCAAACCCGAAGCAAAUCCUCUAACAUUUGAAUAGUCCUUUUUGCUUGUCCAUCUGACUACUGGUGAAAAAUAAAAAUAAGACUCACCUUGGUCCCCAAACCUUUCUAAAAUGACAAGCAAAAUUGAGAUAAAACUACAUACCAAAAUUAUAUAUGAUAGAAAUUGGUACCCCAUGCAACUUCACAAUCUCUUGAAGAUAAAACCUUGCAUUAUCCUCAGUCGAGAAGUUAGUCCUUACUAGUAAAAAGUGAGCUGACCUUGUCAUCCUAUCCAUGAUGACCCAAACUGAAUCAAAUUGAUUUUGAGACUAAGGGAGAUCAGUAACAAAAUCCAUGUUGAUUACUUUCCACUUCCAUUCAGGCAACUUAAUCUCUGACAUAAUCUUUUGGGCCUCAUGUGCUCAACUUUAACUUGUUGGCACACCAUGUACUUGGCCACAAAAUUAGCCAUAUCCCGCUUCAUAUUGUUCCACCAAUACAUCUCCUUGAGGUCAUAAUACAUUUUUGUCAAACCAGGAUAAACAAUAUAGUGCGGCUCAUGCGCCUCAUCCAAAAUCCUCUCUCGUAAACCAUCUACAUCGGGAACACAUAAUUUUCCUUGGUAUCACAAAGUAACAUCACCACUAAUCUUGAAGGCCAUCACUUUUUACCCACCUACAUCACCCUUAAUCCUCAUCAAGAUAGGAUAUAACAUCUACUUUUCCUUGAUUUCAGCACCAAGACACGAUCGUGCUACUUUCUGCACAAACACACUACCACUCUCGGAGUCCAAAAUAUGAACUCUAAGGUUAGCCAAAUGGUGAAUGUCUUUCACUAACUCCCAUUUCACCUUAUACACAUAAGCUAGAAUCCCCAUGGAUAACCUGCUAAGAGAAUAAGCAACCAUGUUAGCUUUACCUGGGUGGUAGUAAAGACUCAUAUAAUAAUCCUUGAGAAGUUCAAGCUAUCUCCUUUGCUUGAGGUUAAGCUCUUUUCUAGUAAACACAUAAUGCAGGCUCUUAUGAUCAGAAAAGAUAGCCACAUGUACUCCAUACAAAUAGUGACGCCAUCUUUCCAAUGCGAACGCACAACUAACAGCUCCAAGUCAUGAGUCAUAUAGUUCUUCUCAUGCACCUUUAACUGUCUAGAGGCAUAAGCUAUCACCUUUCCAUACUACAUCAAAACACAACCAAGCUCCAUAUGGGAUGCAUCAUAGAAGACCACAAACCCAUCAGUACCUUCAAGCAAACUCAAAAUCAGAGCCAAAGUUAGAUAAUCCUUCAACUUCUCAAAACUACCCUUAGAAAUAUCACACCAUAGGAACUUUACCUUCUUCUAAGUCAAUUUAGUUAAUGGGGUAGCUAUAGUCGAAUAACUCUCCACAAACCUCGUGUAGUAACCCGCUAAACCUAAGAAGCUCCAAAUGUCAUUGGAUUUAUGGGUCUAGGCCACUUCCUCACCACUGUAACUUUCUAUUAAUCCACCAUGAUCCCUUCACUAGAAAUGACAUGACCCAAAAAAGUGAUAGCCUUUAACCAGAACACACAUUUUGAGAAUUUGGCAUAUAGUUGAUGCUUCUUCAGGGUCUACAAUACAAUACAGAGGUGAUCGGAAUAAUCCACCUUACUUUUUUAGUACACCAGAAUGUCAUCUAUGAAGACAAUAAAAACAAAUUCAAAAACCAACGGAAUACCCUAUUCAUUAAAUCCAUGAAUGUCGCAGGGGCAUUGGUCAAAUCGAAAGGCAUAACCAAAAACUCAAAGUGCCCAUACCGGGUAUGGAAGGCAGACUUAGGGAUAUCCACCUCCAUAAUCUUUAACUGAUGAUACCCGAAUUAAAGAUCAAUUUUGAAGAAAAACUUAGCACCCUGCAACUGAUCAAGCAAAUUGUUAUCUUGUUCAACUACCGAUAAUCAAUACACAUCCGAAGGGAACCAUUUUUUUUACAUACAAAUAACACUGAUGUACCCCAUGAGGACACACUAGGAUGGAUGAAACCCUUGUCUAAAGAUCAUUGAGUUGAUCCUUAAGCUCCUUCAACUCAGUUGGAGCCAUUCUACAUUGAGGAAUAGAGAUUGGACGAGUGUCCAGAUCAAGAUCACUCCCAAACUCAAUCUCCCUAUCAGGAGGAACACCAGGAAAGUCAUCAAGAAGACCUUAGUAGAUUUAUUCACCACUGGAAUAGAAUUCAAAUAAGGGUCAUCUGAGUUAGAAUCUUUAACCCGAACUAGAUGAUAGAGACACCUCUUGGAGAUUAAUCUCCAAGAUCUAAGAUAAGAUAUGAACUUCCCCUUAGGAGUUAGGGAACCAUCCUCCCACUCCACAACUAUCUCAUUAGGGAAUUUAAAGACAACCUUACGAGUAUCACGGUCUAGAGAUGCAUAGAAAAAGUAAAACUAAUCCAUCCCUAAUGUGACAUCAAAAUCAACUAUAUCUAGUUCAAAUAGAUCUACCAAAGUCUCCCGACCACGCACAGAUACCACAUAAUCCCUAUAGAUUUUGCUAGCUAUCAUAAAGUUACGCACUGGGGUAGAAAUAAAAAAGGACUCAAAAUACACUCUGGACCAAAAGCAAAAUGUACAGCCACAAAUAAGGUCACAUAAGAGAGAGAGGACCUCAAAUCAAGUAAAUAGUACACAUUAUGAAAAAAGAGUUUCAAUAUACCAGUAAUAACAUUAGGCGAUGCCUCAGACUCCUAUCGGGUAGUGAGAGUCAUGACAUUAGGCGAUGCCUCAGACUCUUGUCAGGUAGUGAGAGAAUAAAGACAGUUCCAAACAUUGUCGAAACUAGAUGGUGCACCCUUUGGUGUCGAAGCUAAUGAUGAAGCAACAGGAACCUUGUCUGCCCCCGAAUCAACCGUAGCCACUAAAAAGUUAUUAAUCAUAUGCCCUGGCUGACCACAACUAAAGCACUUAUCCCUUUUUUCCUUAUAAUAACCCUAAUAUAAUCUACCACAGAACCUACAAAGAGGCUAUGAUGGAGCUGACUGGGCCUACUAUCCUAAGAUUGGGCACCUUGUGCCUUAAAGUUAUCGCCACCUUAGAAAUUCCUACCACCAGACAGCUUUGAGUAGGGAGCAUUAGCCUUUGAGUAAGACCCAGAGUUGCCCCACUUCUUCUUGGGCCACUUCUCUUCAUCUCUUUCACUCUGUUGUUGUCCACCACCUUGCUCAGAGAACUUAAAUAUAUUGCCCUGCCUCUUUCUUAUUUUAUCGUUCUUCUUCUCUUCUUCUAGCUACUGCAUGUAAUAACCAUCCUAGAGAUAUCUAUGUCCUUGAUCAACAAGGUAGCCUUAAUCUCCAAUAUCAAAUCUCUGGAAAACUAGAAAGCAAACUUUCUUAUUCUAUCUUUCAUGUUAGAAACCAUCUCGAGAGCAUACCGAGAUAACUGGUGAAACUUUAAGGGAUACUCCUUGACUGACAUUUUGCCUAGCCUCAGAUUGACAAACUCUUCUACUUUUUCUUCCCUCAACUCCUGAGAAAAGAAGCAAUCCAAGAAAGCAUUAGAGAAAUCUUCCCAUAGGGAUGACUUAGCCUCAUCACCCCUUGACUGAUCCCAUUCCUUGUACCACUAGUACACCACAUUUCAACUGGAAGGCAGGAAACUACUGGCCCUCCACAUUUGUGGCAUGCAUAACUCGAGAAAUCUUUUCCAUUUCAUCCAGAAAACCUUAUGAAUCCUCCUCCACCUUAACACUAGUAAAUGUCAGAGGGUUCAACCUUAUGAACUGGCCAACCCUCGUGGCAUCAUAAGAUGGAGUAACAAAUGCACCACGCUCAGCCUGAGAAGCUACCAACUAAGCCAACAUAUGGAUAGACUGACAAAACUUAACAUUCAUCACAUCAUCCUAAGGAGCUCAAGAAAGACAGGAGGGAACUAGUGUAACUCUAGAAUGACAAUCAGGAACUAGACCCCAUAAGUAGAUCAAGUCCCAUUAGCAUUGUCCACGGGUGGGACAAAGGAGUUUCCAUGAGCAUUAAAUAGUUGAGGUGGCAUAAUCUAAAAAGAAAACAAAUAGGAAUUAGAGUAGAAUUAAAGACCUUAGACUCUACAGCUUGAUAACAAAAUAUGAGAAGGAUAAAUAUUCCUAGAUACCUCGUAGCCUCUCCCUUAUGAGUGUGGCAUGCUACCCAGCCUUAAAAUAGACUCUACUUGACAAGACUUUAUGAACUCCCAAGUGACCAUGAACUUAGGUCUCUAAUACCAAUCUGACAAGACCAAAACCAGGACCUAGUCAUGUCGGGCAUCUAAAGUUUGACCCGGACCAGAGACCAACCCCAAUACCCAACUAUAACUAUCCUAUACCCAAUGUCAAAUAAAUUUUAAACAUAUAACUAGAUAGAAUAAUUAUAAUUGAUAGGCAUUUAAUAAAGUCCAUAACCAUAACCAUCCAAACAUCUAACUAAGAAUCCAGUCAGUAUCAGUCUUCAUACCAAUAUCGAUGCCAAGGCAUAUACCAAUACUGACACCGCCAAUUCCCAUAGUAGUCAUACAAAGCCUCUAAUAGAAAUCAAAGAACAUCCUAUCGGGACAUACCCCCAACCAUAGCCAAAAACAAAGUCCAAUAAAUAAACAAGAAUAUGAAAAGAAGUACAUGGCAUGAAAUAGAGUCUUCUGGAGUAUGGAAGCUUACUACUUCAGUCCAACACAAAGUUGUUCCCGAAUCCAAGAUCAUUGAGUAGGAGGAGUAGUAUGGCCGAUUCCUACAUCGCGUGGGGAUACAUUUCCCGAAGAUGGGUUAGCGGAUGAAUGCUAGUAUGUACUCAGGAAUAAGGAUAAAACAAUGCCAUUAUUCAAAAUCUAAGUAAAUAACCCCAUGCAACAAUAUACAUACAUAUAUAUACCAUACCAGGAAAGGGAAUAACUAUAUGCAACCACAUACAUACAUAUAUAUACCAUGUCGGGAAAGAGAACUGGGUUUAGCAUGAAUUUAAGACCUUUAACUUGGGAUUAUUUAGCUCUGUCAUCCUAAAUCCACCCAUGGGCUAUAUGGGUCCAUCCCCUUACUAAAAAAGCACCGGCGCGUAUUAGCCGCAUGAGUUGGAGAAAAAUUUAAGAUGAAUAGUACAUCUCCUAAAUAUAAGUGUGACAUGAUACACACAGUCACCAAGACCAACCUCACAUCAGCAAACAUGAGUUUCCAGUUUUGGUCCCCCUGGGACCACCACAUUUCAUGACUUUGCUAACACAUCCCUCUUUAAGCCCAUAUUAAAACUAUUUACACACAUCCAACCAAUUACCAAGGAGUCCUUUUUAUUAGGCAUUAACCAUUGGUAUCAUCAUAACAAACCCAGAGCUUACAGGUCUAUCCAUUUAUGUCAUACAAAAGACAUUAAACCAAUUUGACUCCAAAGUUUUUGUUCAAACCAAUACCAUGGACCAAGGACUUUCCAAUAAAUUUAAAAUCAUUUAAACCAAUUUAGGUUCCAUUACUAGAUUAUGAAAUGCAAAGUUUUCAAUUAUAGUCAAAUUAUGUAACAAAAUCAUUCUCAUAGGCAUUUUAACAAACAUGUUGAGGGCAUAAGAUUUUUCCAAUACCAAAACCAUAUAUCAAUUGACCAUUCCCAUGCAACCACAUGUUCAAACCACAAUUAUAACAUAAAAACAUAAGAAAACAUGGGAAAACAUUAUCCAACAAAGAACAACCAAAACCCCCCAAUAUAUACUUCAAAACCCAAAACAAUACCACAAUAAUGCUAUGAAAAUCAUUCAUUCAAAUAUUUUUUUGGUUGAGCUAAAAAUGAGAGAGGAGUAACAUGCCUUAAACAACAAGGAAAAUGAAUUUAAAACACCCUUUAGAGCCUUAAUUGAUUAACUUGGAGAAAACCCUAGUCUUUCUUGAACCAAGAUAUUGAGAGAGAUUUUAGAGUGUUUAGAGAGUGUUUGAUUGUGAAUAAUAGGUUAAGGAAACACACAUCCAACCAAUUACCAAGGAGUCCUUUUUAUUAGGCAUUAACCAUUGGUAUCAUCAUAACAAACCCAGAGCUUACAGGUCUAUCCAUUUAUGUCAUACAAAAGACAUUAAACCAAUUUGACUCCAAAGUUUUUGUUCAAACCAAUACCAUGGACCAAGGACUUUCCAAUAAAUUUAAAAUCAUUUAAACCAAUUUAGGUUCCAUUACUAGAUUAUGAAAUGCAAAGUUUUCAAUUAUAGUCAAAUUAUGUAACAAAAUCAUUCUCAUAGGCAUUUUAACAAACAUGUUGAGGGCAUAAGAUUUUUCCAAUACCAAAACCAUAUAUCAAUUGACCAUUCCCAUGCAACCACAUGUUCAAACCACAAUUAUAACAUAAAAACAUAAGAAAACAUGGGAAAACAUUAUCCAACAAAGAACAACCAAAACCCCCCAAUAUAUACUUCAAAACCCAAAACAAUACCACAAUAAUGCUAUGAAAAUCAUUCAUUCAAAUAUUUUUUUGGUUGAGCUAAAAAUGAGAGAGGAGUAACAUGCCUUAAACAACAAGGAAAAUGAAUUUAAAACACCCUUUAGAGCCUUAAUUGAUUAACUUGGAGAAAACCCUAGUCUUUCUUGAACCAAGAUAUUGAGAGAGAUUUUAGAGUGUUUAGAGAGUGUUUGAUUGUGAAUAAUAGGUUAAGGAAGCCUCCAAAUGUGUUUUAUGUCAUAGGGUUCAAACAGAGUUAUGAGAGAAAAUAUCCAAAAUACCCCCAACUUAAAAUGCAAAAAGGACGCAGGAGGGUACGGUUGAUCCCUCAACUCGUAUCCAUAUCAUACUAGUGGUAUUCUAUAUUCGUAUCUCGAUUAGAAAGUUGGACACCACAUUCUGUCAAACAUACGACUCCUUAGCCUAAAUCAUACAAUCACCAUAUGACAAUUACCCUUUAAGUUAUACCCUAAGUAGAACAUCAAGGCUAGACACUUGACAACAUAUGGAUGGACACCAUACCCCUCGUAUCAUGAACGUAUGACUUAUCACCACCAAUCUAUAACCAUGAUAGAAACUUAACCACUAAAUACUAGACACCCUAUGAGUUAGGUCACCUAACCCGUACCCAUACCAUACGACUAGUAUGGUGAGUUAUAUAAUGAUCAGAAAGCUCAAGACUCAAGAAAUUUGCAAGGGCCAGAACCUAGGGUGUUUCAAAUCAGCUGCAACCUUUCUUCUUUAUUUUAUAGGGACAUGGUCCUUAUUAUUUCCUUUGUCACCUCCAGUCUUGAGAUAUUCCUAAUAAUCCAUUUUGUGCAUUAGUCAAGUCUUUAAUAAAGUGCUCAAGAUUUUUAUGUUUGUGACAAACCUUAAUAGUGCCUCUCUUUUUGUUGUUGCUUCCUCUUUUUUGAAACUGGCCACUUUUAUUCAUAGCUCUAACAAUCCUUUUUGCCAAAUAGGCAACAUUUGUGUCUUCUUCACUUGAAUCAAACUUUGAAGCCUUCAAUGCCAGAGAUUUUCUCUUUUUGCUUCUUUCUUUUGUUGCCCUUGCUACUUCUUGAGUUCAUGAGUCUUCAAAUUACCAAUAAGUUUAUCCAUUGUGAGAGUUUUAACGUUUCUUGCCUCAGUAAUGGCAUCCACUUUGCUAUCCCAAGAUUUUGGAAGAACACCUAUAAUUUUUUUCACCUGUUUAUACAAAGGAAUAACUUCUCCAAAGCAGUGCAAUUCAUUGGUGGUUAAAGUGAAUCUAGUAUGCAUCUCUUAGAUAGUUUCUCCUUCUUUCAUGGUAAAGGUUCCAUACUGAGUAGUUAGCAUAUCAGAUUUUGAAUCCUUCACAUCAAUGGUUACUUCAUGAGUAGUCCUAAAGCAAUUCCAAAUUUCCUUAGCAUUUUCACAAGUAGAUAUCCUAUUAUCUUCAUCAAGUCCUAUGCCAUGGAUAGGGAAUUUCUUUGCCUUGUAAUUCUUCUCAACCUUCUUUUAAUAUUCAUCAUCAAACUCUCUCUUAGGUUUAACAACCAUCCUUGUUAUGUCUCAUUCUUUGACCUCUCUAAUAGGCAUAUGUGGACCAUCAAGUAUUACGUCCAUCAGCUCAUUGUCCUUAGCUAUAAUAAAGUCAUAUAUCCUAGUUUUCCACCACCCAUAGAAAUGUCUAUUAAAAUAGGGUGGUUUAGUGGUAGAUUGCCCUUCUUCUAGAUUAGGUGGAGCAUCCAUGAUCAAUAAAUCACUUUAGGGAUGAACCUUUAAGAGUUUCCUUGCUCUAAUAAAAAUUAUUGAAACGUGGGAGGUUGCACCAUACUAUGAGGGACCAGGUCCCUUAGAGUUAGACACAGUCAAUAAAAUAGUAAAGUAGUAGAAAACUAAAACUUUACUAGAAAUUAAAUAACACAAAUAUUUAACAUAGAAACCUCCUUACUCAAGGGAGGAAAAACUACGCCUUAACCUCACAAGGACUCAACAAUUCACCAUAAUUAAACUAUUGAUUAUAGACUCAAUGGAAACAUAAAUCUAAGCUCUACCAGUUUGUAACAACUCAAUUACAAACCUAUCUUGACAACUCUGCAAGAACUCACCUCAAUAUUGAUUAACUCUAACCAAUAUCAACUCAGGUUACUCUACCUAAGCACUCUCAAGGAUAUAAGAAAAGGACAUUACUCUUAUAACAUGAGUAAUUUAAUUAUAGACGCAAACAUUACUCAAGAACACUCACUGUUUUAGCACACACAAGAACUAUAAACUUAAGCAAUGUUGUAAAGUUGAGUUUUAUCUGAUUUCUCACUUGAACAAUAAGAUUGAAAAAACUAGUGAAUUGGGGAGCAUUCUUUUAUAUUUAUAGCUGGAUAAUGAUUAAGGUAAAAAUAUGAUUGGGAUAGGUGUCUUGAUAGGUACAAGCUCACCUGUAUAGUUUGUUACACUAACAGAUAAAACUGCAUAGGCCAGUAAUAGAUGUAUUGAGUUCAUGAAGACCUAGGGACCUGGUCCCUUGUUGUCAUCUGAUCAUCAUCAAAAUAAGAUAUACCAGGAUUAUUUCUUAUAUAUGUGCUAGGAAACUUUUCUCAAGGAGUUACUAGUCUUACCUCGCUUAUAUUCAUGAUGUUACUGUGGGCUAUUUUUUACCCACACUAGCAGAUCUAGAGUAGAUUGGGCAUACCUCUAAAGCUGAUAGGGCACAUGUCCCCUUUCGGGGGCUUUCUAUCCCCAUUUUGCCUUUCCUUAGCCUCUUUUAAAAUCUCGCGUCCAUUCUAGAUCAUCAUAAUAAUCUAAUUGUCACCUUUUGGAUAGCACCAAGAAGUCUUCAAGUGCCUCUUGACCUAUAAGCAUCCUCUUGUAUGAUCUGAAAAGCCAUUUGGAUUGUAUCAUUUUCUCCUACUUGAAAAAGAUUCAUCCCCGAAUCUACAACUUUCAAUCAUAAGAGGAAAACACAAAAUUAAUAUUUUGUCGAAGCACAAGGGUUAGCAUAAGGGCUAAAUUCAAAACAUCUAUGCUAAGGAGACACCCAUUUAACAUUUAACCAAACAUCCUUUAAAGGUAAUGGAAGAGAAGCCAAUAUUUAAGUUGCAAAGGAGUUGGCUAUGAUAAGCAUCAAUAAAUUCUCUGAAGUUAUCUCCAUUAACAAUGUUACCAAACAAAUCAUCACAUGUUGGAACAACUAAGGUUAGAAUCAAGGAGUCAUUAGGGUGUAGAUUACCCUUCCAUUCACAAAAAAUCAUGUUUACACACAAAACAUUCUUAGCAUUAGCAUAACUAUGCUCACAAACAAAGAAAAUGGAAUGAAUAGAGCUAUGAUUACCUGAGGUAAUACCAAGAACCAGAUUACAUAAAUGUAAGAACAAAUAUCUUAAGCAUCUCACUUGAACAACCCCCAAGAACGAUCCAACUUGUCUAUCCACAAAAGUGUUACAAGAAUCAAGGGUUAAGCAUUCUUUAUCAAGUAGGAACCAUAGACUCUUCUUAGAAUAACAAAUAGACUGACCAUACGGGUUGGGGAUUCCACUUAUUUCAUGCACAUUCAAGUCAUUCCAAAAUAUGGUUAGAAAGAAAUCAACACCAUCUAGGUAGGAUUUUAAGUCAAAUAUCUUUAAAAGAUUAUCUACUUAAGGAUAAAUAUCAUCAUGAGUCCAAGGAAUGUUAGGAAUAAAAUGGGUAGGUACAUACCUUUGGAGAAAAUCCUUGAGCUUGCUCUCUUGUCUUCUAUACUUGCACCAUGUGGCAUUUCCCUCUCAUGCAUCAUCCUGGAAGUUCACACAAGAUUAGAGCCAAAUAUAGGGAAUAACAAUGGCUUGGUUUUGUCACUAAGCUCUCCUUCUUAAUCCCAAAGCUCCUUAUCUUCACCAUUAAUAUCCCUCCUCAUCAUGAGGUUAAGGUUCAUGACCUCUCUUUAUUUGGUCCAAACAUCCUAAUGGGGAACUUUCAUCAUCAAUCCACAAGGUACACUAAAGUCCUCUUUAACUUCCGCUAAUUCCUCUUCACUUACAAGGUAUUCAUCCUCUUGAGGAUUUUACUCACCACCAUCUUCAUGGGUCACCUUAUCCCCAACAAAGUAAAUAUCACCUUCUAACAACACUAUGUUCCUUCGAUUGGGGCAUUCACUUACCUUAUGACCCCAACCUUGACAUUUAAAGCAAACAAUACCUUUAAAAUUGAGAGCAGAAGAUGGAUUACCGUUAUUCGUUGGUGGAUACCUUUGGAUUGCCUUCUCAAUGGGAUUCUUCUCUACAAACUUAUUGGAAUCCUUGAUCUUAUUCCAUCCGGAGGGUGUAGAAGAAUUGUAACUUCUAUUGAAGGACUUCUUUGCAUUAUUGUUCCUUUCAGCCUCAAUGGCUGCUUUAACAAUAUCUUCUAUUCAUUCAAACUUGUGGGCAACUAGUUAAGAAGAAAUAUCAUAAUCUAACCCGCCUUUGAAUCGAUCCACACAAUGAUUUGGGGGUUUGAAAAUCUCAAGACUAAGAAUUAAGUUUUAAAACUCCUCACAAUAGUCUUCCACACCUCUACCUCCUUGCCUCAAUUUAUAGAGCUUUGUUAGUUGAUCUUGUUCAAACCUUUCCAUUACAUACCUCUCUCCCAUGAGUGCCCUCAAUUCAUUCUAAUUCGAGAGGUUGGUAUUAAUCCUUGCACUCUUUAAUUCUCCCACCAAGUUGAAGAAUACCCUUUAAAUUGAGUAAUUACAUGAGAGGCUUUCUUGUGUCCAGUUAACUUAUUAAGUUGGAAAAUCUUAUUGCAUUGUACUUCCUAGUAAAGGUAGACCGAUGGAUCACUAGUUCCUUUGAAGGUAAGAAGAGUGAUCUUGAUUGAGUUAAAACCCAUGUCUCAGCCCAUAUUUCCUUCUUGAUCCCAUUAACGAUCCUCUUAAACUUGGGAAUGGUUUCCCAAGUUUCCUCUUCUAUAUGGAACUGGACCAAAUAUUUCUCCUCGUCCUCUAUGUCCUCCCCCUUGAUCUCAUCUUCUAGUUCAUACAAAUUCCAUAAAGAGAUCCACUUUACCUAACCUUACAUAAGGUUUCUUACUUCCCACAUCAUCUAUUUGGACUGGUUAAUUAUGGUUAGCCAAGAUUUGAGGUGGUUAGUUUUGUAUAAUGGGAUGGUUUUGUGGGUCUUCUUGAUUGACUUGAUUUAAUUAGGGUUGCAGUGGAUGAACGGGUUUUGAUUAUUUAGGUAAAUAGUACCUUGGAGAGGGGGAUCUUGUACUUUCCUCGGGGGAUUGUACAUUUGAUGAAGUAUUUUUGGAGUUAUAGUAGAGGAGGUGUUAUGAGCAUGGCCACUAGAUAAAGAAUAAGGUUUUUGAGGAGUUGAUGUGGUGGAAUCUAAAUGCCCUUCCACAUUAACUAUCCUUCCAUUCAAUCCCGAUAAUUCACUUCGCAUUUCAUUUACAUCUUGUUUCACACUCAUUAUGGCCGCCAUUAUAGCUUCUAUGUUUAUCUUACUCGAAGCUCUUGGGAUAUAUUCUCCCAAUGCCAUACCUAAAUAAAGUAAAUAAUAAAACUAAAACUAAAACAAAAAACAAGUUAAGGAUAGGAAAUCAACCUCACAAGCUCUCAAAGUUCACACAAUCGUGUUGUCUCUCAAUUGGUAUCGAAAGCGUUGAUAGAUCAUUUAUACUCCGAUGAGAAUUCUUUGUACUAAUUUUGGAUUGAGGUUGGAAUGGAUUAUUUUUUGAAAUGACUCAAAAAAAUAUAUACGGACUUGAGUCAAGAAGCUAUGACGAAUUAAAAACUAGAAAAGCUUAAAAGAAAAGAAACGUUGAAAGAAAUGGGACUCAAAAACUAGUCAAUCAACUUAGUAGAUAAAUUAAUUAUUUGUUGAGUAGUUUAUGAAUAAAAAGACUAUAUUAGGAAUCAAUAAAUUGAAACUAAAGAAUUAAAACUUGAACAAAAUGGAAUCCAAAAGCUUUAAAUGUGUUUGGAAGCCUGAUUUACGGUCAAUUGGGGUUGAUCUGCAUUGAGGAGUUCUUGCAGCGGGUGGGGUGCAUCCCCAAUGCACCUUGGAUGUAGAGGUGGACUUAGCUACUUCCUUGAGGUGUAGCCACAGGUCUGGAGCAAACCAGGCGCAACUACAGCGCAGGUCACCCACCCCUCUCUUGAAUGGGUGAUUUUUACCUUCUAGUGGUCCCUUUUUGUACUCUCUCUUGGAAUAUACUUUGGAAUUUUCUUAGAUGCACAAGUAAAAACACUUUUUCACUACUUUUCAUCCUUCUUUUUGUAUCAAACACCCUCUUUUGAUAAAAUUUCAGCUUGAAGAUUUGAAUUUCUCCAAGAACACUAACUUCUUCUCCCCAAGCUCGGAUGAGUUAAAAUUUUGAACGUAAGAACUUUUCAACGUUCUAAACUCAUUCCCAAUAUAGUUUUACCAAUUUUUCCAGAUUUUUCAACCCACUUCACUUUUCUUCAAGUUCAAGCUCUUAACAAUGGUAGCUCACUUAAUAUGACUUCGAUUAAGCUCAAAUUUGAAAACUAGACUCUAAUAGUGUUAGGGAACUCAAAUCUAACACUAGAAACACAAGAAAAACACAUAAUCAAAAACUCAUAAUUUGACCUAAGAAUAAAAUGUGAAUAGUAACUUCUUUUAAAUUUUCAAUUUUGACACUUUUUUUUGUUGAUUUUCAAGAUAACAAACCCAAAAUUGACUUUGCAGGAAUAAAAUCAAGCUCGGAUCUAAUACCAAAUGAUAAUGAAACAAAUGAUGGAAUUGAAACUAAGUAAAGAAAUGAAGAAAACAAAGAUAAAGAUAGAUAGAUAGAUAGAUAAAGCAAUAAGAUAGACACAAGAAGGAAAUGGAUAACAAACAAAGGGUAUAUCAAACCCUUAAUCCUCUAUUGAAUAUCCGAUCAAGCACCUAAAUCUUACAUAGAUCUCAAGGGAAUUAGAUUCCCAAGAAACCCACACUUCUAAACGGAAGAUUAACACAAGUGAUUCUGCGCUUGCCUCGCACUCUCACAAGAGUAUUGUCAUGAUCUAAACCAGGGUCUGUCCAUGACGGGUAUCUCAAUUCCAGUAAAGACAGGAGACAACCCCCUUUGCCUAGCCAAACAGAACAAAACACAUAUAGCAGCGGAUGUAUUUCAAACAUAUAGUAAGAUAGAAUAAAUGUAAUCUCAAAGGAGUCUAAGAAUAUCAACAACAAUACCCAGUUUGCAAUAAUCCACAAAGUCUCUAUGACAAAACCUAAUAGAAUCUAAGUCGAUACAUGCCUUCGACGAUAGCCAAAGAAACCAUAUGAAUAGUUUAUGACAUAAGAGAAUAGAAAAAUAAUGAAAUAAAGCUCUUCCAGAGAAUGGAAGCUCACCACUCCAAGCUAACUCCUGACACCCUAAAAUCCUAUCACUGUGUAGAAAAGUAGAAGUAUUAAUGUUGCCUGCAUCACAUGGGGAUAUAGUAUCUGAUAAUGAUGAGCGGGUUGAGUGCUAGCAUGUAACACAGGGCAAGGAUAAAAUAAUGUCAGUUAAAAGUUAAAUUUCAAACUCACUAUACAUGUUCAUAUGCAUAUGUAUAUAUAGUAGAUGUUGGGGUAGGGAACAAGGUUUAGCAUGAUAGUAAAACAUUAUCUAGGACUAUGUAGCUAAGCUGUCAUAAACAGGCACCCACGGGCUAUAUGGGUUCAGCUUUCCCUGCUAAAAGAGCCCCAGUGUGUGUUAACCGCAUGAACCAGAGGCAUCAAGGAAGACCAAAAAAUGCCCCGAGCCCACGUCAACCUAGAUACAAAAUGUAUCAAUAGUGUGAACCAUACACACGGUCAUCUAGACCAACCCUCAAGUCGGUAAAUGUGAGUUUCCAGUAUAAGUCAUUCAAGACUCACACCUUCACCUCUUAGCUACAUAACACCCAUUAAUCCCAAUUAAAACAACUUUCACAUAACCCAUUCAUUAACCAAGGAAUCAUAUAUUAAGGCACACCAUGGUAUUGUCAUACCUAUUUAGCUUGCAAGCUUAUACUUAUGCCAUUACAAUUCCAUUAACUUGAGGGAAUGCCUCGACACCCUUUGUUCAUUAUAUCAAGUUGGAGGAAUGCCUCAACCUCCUUUAGUUUAUCAAAAUAAAACAUAGCCAACAAGGCUUCAAAAUCUAUUUUUAUUGUUUAAUCAUUUAUGUAAUGCUAUAGUAUAGGUUAGUAAAUCAAACUAAGUGACAAUUCCAUAAUUCAAAGCCAUUUACACAAGUGGGUUCAGGGAAUACAAUUAUUCAAAAUUAAUUUCCAAGUUCAAAACAUCAAUUUGAGGGAUUUUAUCGACCCUCAUUUUAAUUCCCCCGCCCAUGCACCCUAUUAGUUCAAAAACAUCCACUUCAAAGCAUGAACAACUCAUGAAAACCAUGGGAAAAUAAUUCAAGGAUCAACCAUUUCAAAACCAUCAACCCGUGUUAAAACUCACAUUAAAAUCCAUACAAUUAAACCAUUUAAAAUACGUUCUUUUCACAAAAUAAGAUUUGGAGAAGAGUAACAUGCUUGAGAUAUUACGAUUUACGAAAAGAAAUUAACCCUUGGAAGUUCUAGAGACCAAUUUCUUAAAACCCUAGCUUAUUCAUGCCUUAGGGAUUUAAGAGAGUUUAGGAGAGUGUUGAUGACUGGUAGGUAUUGAAAAUAAUGCCCAAAGGUGAUUUAUGGUUGUAGGAUCUAAGUAGGGGAAAAGGGAAAUGACCAGAAUGUCUUUAAUAAAUAGACUAAAAAUUAACCACACAAUCGCUACGGGUCACAUGAUGACUCAUAAUGACUGGAUAUGAGUCAUUUCUUAGACUCAGAGUUUGGUCAGUAUCAUAGGUAUGCACACUGGUCUGACUAUGAUUCGUACCUUAUAACUCAUACUCAGACCUUAUGACUCGUAUGGUCUAGUUGUUGUAUUGGAAGAAACAUUUAGGCAUCCUUACUGGUUAGGCUACGAAAACCGCUAUAUGACUUGUAAUGGGUCUUGACAACUCAUUGGGUGAUAAUCAUGACCAAUACAAAGACUUUUCCAAACACACUGGUCAGGCUACGAUUACAGUCCUACAACUCAUAUGAUAAGUCUUAGUCUGGGCAGUGAGCUCAGAGGUUAAAAAAAUUUUAAGGGCCAAAAUCUGGGGUGUAAGUAUACAUUCAUAAUUUAUCAAAGUCUAACAACUAAAUGGAAGAAAAGACAUAUUUAUAGUCUAGGGUUAAUUAUUACAUCAUAUGGGCCAAAAAAUUAUCCAUUUGGGAAAGACAAAGCAUAGAAGCCCAUUAAGAAUUCCCUUAGGCAAUCCAAGCACACAUGGGAUGCAUCUUCAAGUCAUGUGAGUUAUUUUUGACCCACUCUAGCAGAUCUAGAGUCGGUUGGGCACACCUACAAAGCAGAUGGGGUGCAUUCUCCUUUCGGGGGCUUUCUAGCCUCAUUUUGCCUUUCUUUGGCCUCUUUAAUAUCUCUCGUUCCUCCUCAAUCAUCAUAAUAAUUCAAUUAGCACCUUUUGGAUAGAACCAAUGAGCCUUCAAGUGCCUCUUGAACUAUAAGCCUCUUCUCUAAUAAUCUGGAGGCCAUUUGGAUUGUAUUACAAUACAAGUUAUGGCAUGGAUUUUAUUUCCUGAUCUUUUACCUACUUUUUUUGUGAUGAAUCACUUUUUUCAUUAGAAGAAACUAUGGGAAAAACCAUCCAUCUUGAUAUGUCCACUAUUAACAAGGCCCGACCUAGUUGUGCGAGGGUGAAAGUCCAAAUUGAUUUAGCAACUAAGUUACCUGAUAAAGUGGAGAUAGAAGUGAAUAAAACAAAAGAAGCAAGGAUUCAAUCAGUCAAAACUCGAUAUGAUAUGCUUCCUAAAUAUUGUUUCAAGUGUAAAGUUCAAUGUCAUGAGAAGGUGGAGUAUAGAAUUUUACAUUCAGAAUUGAAAAAUUAUGUGCAAAAAAGACAUAAAUAGGAAGUUAGUUUUUGCUAAAUGGAAUCCUACAAGUCAAAAAUUUCAAAUUGAAAAAGGAACCAACAAAUUUCUAGAUAAUGUUGUAGACAUGAAAAAUGAGGAAAAGGUGUUACAGGCCAAUAAAACAAUCAGUACUAAGAACUCAUUUGGCAUCCUUCAACAACAAGAUGAAGGCAGUUAACUUACUCAAGCUACGGGAACAAUGACCUCAAUGGUGGAGGGAAAGGAAAAUAUGAAGAAGAAGAAAAAUAAUGUAAAAGAAAAGCUGAGUAACAUGCAAAAUAUAGAUCAACAUAAAUCUGUUUAGUAGAAAUAAAAUAGGAAAAAUAUAUAUUCCAUGAGUUAAUAUGGAUAAUCAGGUGGAGGGAUGUAUUACAACUGACAAGGACAACAUCAAUGAGACUAGCAACAAUAGUUGUUCAAUGGGAACUGCAGAACCUAUUCAUGAUAAAUAUAUGAUAUUAAAUGUAGUGGAUCACAAAGAUACUCAACAACUUACAUGUACCAACAAAAAUCUAAGGAAAAGAGGCAGAAGUAUAUUGCUAGAACAGGGGAAUGUAGGUGUAAAUCAAAAUAAAUUACAUAGUAGUGGAAAAUACAUAGAAGACAUUCAUAGAAACAAAGAAAGUCCACAAAUGCAAAAAAAAAAACAUGUUGAUUAUUGAUAGUCACAGUGCAAGAGGAGGUGAUAUUGUGAAUAAUGAUAUACCUGAUGACAUACAUUCAAAUAGGGUUCAAUUAGCCCUUGCUCAAGCUACAUAAAAUGAGGCACUUUAGGUGGAUGAAUCAGGUGUUAGAGGUGAUGAGGGAUUUCUUCCAAAUAGCAUAGAAGGGGAGGCAAGUAAUCUGGCAUUAGCAGCAUUGAAAAAAUCAAACAACAAAAAAUUACAUAAUUUGGUUUCCCACCAAAUAACAAAAGAGGUAAAUCAUGAAAGUACAGAUACAGAUGACAUAUGGAUAAAAGAUACAGAAGAAGGAAAUAAUCAAAAAAAACUAAACCAAGUAAUGAAAGAAGCAGGUUUAUCACCACGUGCAAAUAACAAAGGUAAAAAGAGUAGGAUCAAAGUUGAAAAGCCUACAAGGACCAGUUCUAGGAGGGGUGGUAAAGCCAGCAUUCAAUGAAUUUAAAAGCACUUUUCUGGAACAUCAGAUUAGUUAGGUCACAACAUGUUUUCCACAUAGUACAAAUGUUACAUAGGCAUCAUAUUACUUUUAUUGCUUUGAUGGAGUCUUUUCAAGAUAUCAGACACAUAUAGAGGUAUAAAAGAAUAUUGGGCAUGAAAUAUACAAAUUAUAAUAUGAAUGUAAAGAUAUGGAUUUUUGUUUAAAAAAAUAUACAGGUGGAGACAUUAGCAUAUUCUGAUCAGCAAAUCACAUUUUAGCUAGUUGUUCAGAAUGAUCAAUAGGUGAUUAUUAUAGCUGUUUAUGCUAAAUGUGAUGUAAGUGAAAGAAUUGCUUUAUGGGAUCUAUUUACUCAUUGAGUCAUAAUGUUAGAGUAUCUUGGAUGGUAAGGGGACUUUAAUGUUAUCAUGAAUGAAGAAGAGAAAAUUGGAGGAUUACCAAUGUAUCCUAAUGUAUAUGAACAUUUUGCUUUCUACAUCAACCCCUGUGAUCUAUUUGAUAUUAAUUUAAAAGGGAGUCCAUUCACUUAGUGGAAUGGUAGGGCAGAUGAUCCAUGUAUUUUUAAGAGAUUAGACAUAAUCGUUAUUAACUAAGAGUUUUUGGGCAUUAUGGGGCGUAUUGAGGUUGAACAUCUAUCCAGGACACGAUCAGAUCAUGCUCCUUUGUUAUUCUCUUGUAGUGAUGAAAAUGUUCAGUUUCACAAGCCUUUUAGGUUUUUGAAAUUUUGGACUGAGAAAGAGGACUUCAAAGAAAUGGUAAGAUAGAAUUAGGUAUCAAAAAAAUGUAGGCAUAUCUUUAUCAAUUUAAAGCAAAAAAUGAAGAAAACCAAAAUGGCUCUAGCUUUAUGGAGCAGAUUCAUGUUUGGAGAUAUAUUUAAAUAAUUAGUCAUCAAGAAAUACAUAGUAAGAAUCAAAAAUGAUUUGUUUGAAGAAAGUCCUACUACUACUAACAAAAUAAUUUUUCAGAAGGCACAGGCUGAGUUGAGGUAGUGUUUACAUUAUGAAGAAGAGUAUUGGAGAUAAAAAUCUGGUAUUCAAUGAUUUUCAGAAGAGAAGGAAAUAUGAAAUUCUUUCUGGUGAAUGCUAGAAGGAAAAAGCUAGAAAUAACUAGAAUUUAGAGAGUUGAUGGUUCUUGGGUUGAAGAUAAUAAUUAGGUAGCUGUAGAAAUAAUUGAUUUCUACCAGAAAUAAUUCACUGGAUCAGUUGAGUCUGGUGCAUAUUCUUUUAUUAAUUUGAUUUCUACCCUAAUCACAAAAUAAGAGAAUAAUUUGUUGAAGGUUUGUCCUGACACUGAAGAAGUUAAAAAGGUAGUUUCUAAACUGAAUGGGGAUAACGCUUGUGAGCCAGAUGGUUUCACUGGACAUUUUCAUCAGUUUUGAUGGGACAUUGUUAGUGGUAAUAUUGUGAAGGUAGUUCAUGUAUUUUUUAUGUAAUGACACUGCCUAAAUCUAUCACUCAUACUAAUUUGGUUCUAUUGCCAAAUAAAGAGAAGGUCAAGAGAGAAGGUCUUGACCUUCUUUGACUUAAGACCUAUUAGUUUGAGUAAUUUUCCAAACAAAAUCAUAUUUAGAAUUCUUCAUGAUAAAUUAUAAGGUUUCUUACCUAGGCUCUCUCAAAAUCAAUCUGAUUUUGUUAAGGGAAAAAUUAUCACAGAUAAUGUAUUAUUGGCCAAGAAAAUUAUAUGCGAUAUUAAAAAAGGGAGUAAGGCUGCAAAUAUGGUAAUUAAGCUUGAUAUGACCAAAGUCUACGAUAGAGUGGAGUGAAAUUUUUUUAUGGAAAUGUUGGAGAAAAUGGGCUUCUCAAAUGUCUUUACUGAUAUGAUAUGGAGACUAGUAGCCAAAAAUUGGUACUCUAUCCUAAUAAAUAGGGAAGUUCAUGUCUUCUUCCAUUCUUCUAGAAGAGUAACGCAAUGGGGUCCUUUAUCCCCUUCUUUAUUUAUUAUUAUUGCUGAAGUUAUAACAGGGCACUUAAUAAUUUAUUCUCAUAUGAUGAUUUCAGGAGUUAUGGACUGACUAAAUAGAGUGAUCAAAUAAAUCAUCUUGCUUAUAUUGAUAAUACAAUAAUAUUUUUUUUGCUGACAGGUUUUCAUUGUAAUUAAUUAUGCAGAUCUUAAGAGAAUAUGAAAACCAAUCGUGUCAACAGGGAAAAGAGUGCCUUUUAUGUACAUAACAAGGUUACUCAUGCACAUGUUUAAUUGGUGGAGCAUUGUACUGGCUUUUCCAAGAGGUAAAUUUCCAUUGACAUAUCUGGUUGUGCUAUUGGACAUGCUAGGAAAAGAAAGAUUAAUUUUUUAGAGCUAUUAAAGAAGGUACAAAAUAAACUUCAGUUAUGGAAAGGCAAACUAUUAUCAUUUGGAGGUAAAGUUGUGUUGAUUAAUAAUGAUUUGCAGAGUAUCCUCAUUUAUCAAUUAUUCGAUCUUAUACCUCCAAAAUGUGUGAUUCAUGAUCUUUAUAGAUUUUUUGCUAAAUUUCUAUGGAACUUUAGAAAAAGAGGGAGGAGUAAACACUAGGUCUCUUGGACUAAUAUAUGUCUACCAAAAAAGGAAAGUGGUAUUGAUUUUAGAUCUUUUUUUUAUGUGUCUAAAUCCUUAUUUUCAAAGCUAUGGUGGUAUUUUAGAAUACAAAAAAAUAAUGUGGACUAAUUUUAUGAGAACAAGUACUGUAAAAGGCAUAGACCACAAGUAGUUGAAUGGAAAGGUGGUUCUCAAGUUUGGAAGUUUAUGUUACAGGCUCGAGAUUAUUUUGACCAAGAAAUAUGGUGGAAAUAUAAGUGUGGACAUGUUAGUAUUUGGUCAGAUAAUUGGACUCAAAAGGGAGCUUUACACUAUUAUCUCCCAUUAAACUAUAAUAAUAAUGGAUGAUUGGAAGAUGUGCAUCAAUUAAUGAAUCAUGAUGGGUGGAAUAGGGAUCUACUUAAGGAAAUUUUUUCUGAAGAUAGAUGCAAUCAUGUACUUAAUAAGAUUGGGACAAUAGGAUAUUUUAAUGCUUGGGAUAAUCCAUGGUGGAUGCCACAAGGUUCUAGAAAAUUUACAAUUAAAAGUGGUUGGACUAUCAUAAGACAGUCUGGGAAUGUCAAUGAGGAUUUAAGGUUUAUAUGGGAAAAGGGUAUACCUUUCAAAGUAUCUUUCUUCUUCUUGAGUUAUGAAAGAAAAUAUUACCUACAGGUGACUUUCUAGUCAGUACAUGAUGGGAAGAAAUGACUAAUUGUGUUUGUUGUGAGUUACCAGUUCAUGAAUCCUAUGAACAUCUCUUUGUUCAGUGUUCUGCAGCUAAUAAUUUGUGGAUAGUUUUUGCAUCAAUAUUGAAGUGUAGGGCCCUUUUCUUCAUUUAAAAUAUGUUAUCUACAAGUGGUGGAAUGCUAAUUAUUGUGCUAAACUUAGGCCCCUAUUUAUUGUUAUUCCUGUUUUCAUACUGUGGAAAAUAUGGAAAGAAGAAACAUCAUCAAACAUGAAGGUAGGAUGUCAAUUCAUGGCAUACAAUAGGAAAUAAAUUGGAAUCUGUAUUUGUUUGCUAAGAUAAGAUAUCCUUGGCUUAAUAAUAUCCCUAGUAACUGGCCUAUGAUGGUUAUGUUCUUGGAAGUUUAUAAACCUAAUAUCCAGGCUACUGUGGUCAAGUGGAAGCCUCCUAUCAAUGGUUUUUAUAAGUGCAAUAUUGAUGGUGCCUCUAAAGAUAACCCUUGUCCUAGUGGUGGUGCUUUCUGUAUUAGAGACAGUAAAGGGAAAUUUAUUUUUGCUAAGUCAUUCUCUUUUGAUAUCUUAACUAACUUAGAGAAAGAAUUUGUUUCCUUUAAGAAGGGUUUAGAGUAACGUGUGAGUCAAAAGUUGUUAACAGUUACUAUGAAAUAGAUUCUCUCAUUCUUAAGAAAAUCCUAGAUGGAAUCUGGGAGAUUUCCUGGAAGGUUUCUAUAUAUAUCAAAAGAAUUCAAUGGUUGAAGAGGCAAUGUCAGGUGGAGGUGUUGCAUACGCUAAGGGAAGGGAACAAACUGGUGAAUUUUUUAGCUAAUGAAGUUUUCUUUUUAGCAGGUACGCAAAAUAUAAUACACAUUGCUACAGGAUAUUGCAGAUGAAGGAAAAAUAAUUAUAAAAAUGGACAAGCAUUAAAUCCCAUCACUGAAGUUUGUCAAAUAACAUUUUUUUCUAUAUAAAAGGCAGUCAUAUUAAAUAACAUACCAGAUCUGAGAUAGCAAAUAACAAGAAAUGCAAAGGUCAAGGCACAUACAGAGGGGGAAUUGAUCCAAAUAGAGGUACAUAUAGCUAUAUUAACAUUGAUUGUCGAGCAAUAAAGUACAAGUACAUAUGUACAUUUUAGACUAGUGCAUGCGACAUGGGUAAAAUACUAAGCUUCAGAAAAGAGGGUUUUGUACCUUUUUCAUGCUUACUCAAAUCAUCUAAGUUAAUGUCCUUUGUCAGUGGUAUCAGCUUCUUGUUGAGCUCAACCUGUCAAGGGUAUGAUUUAGAUAAUCCAAUUUAAACAUUAGAUUAGGUAAUGGAGGAUUUUGGGAAAGAUUUACGUUUACCUGAGGAUCAAAUGUCUCAAUUUGUUCUAAGGGGAGUUGAUGAAGUCUUCCUAUAAUCCGAUUUCAUGGCAUUUGUGAGACAAUUAUAAAUGUCUAAAAUGAAAUUCAUAACUUCACUAAUGGACAGAUUUGAGCUAAAUACAUGGUGUUGGCUUAAGCUUUCCCUUUUAAUCCGUCAGUGAGGCAGUUUCAGCUUUAUAAUCCGUGUGGGGAAGAUGAAAAUGCAUAAGAAUUUUUCUAGAUACUUAUCAUACUUUUUUAUAUGACAUUCAUAGUUGCAACAACUACAGGGGCAUUAAGUUGUUGAGUCACACUAUGAAGAUUUGGGAGAAAGUGGUUGAGCGGAGGUUGAGGAGGAGUGUGUCUAUUUCGGAGAAUCAGUUUGGAUUUAUGCACUGCCGCUCGACGGAGGAGGAAAUUUACCUGGUGUGGAGACUAAUGGAGACGUAUAGGGAGUGAAAGACGGACCUCCACAUGGUUUUC
rnacentral:lncRNA from 1 species